CCCAAAUUCUAGUUCCCACUUCCCCCAAUAAAAUUUUUCCUCUGAACAUAAAUUAACCUCCCCCAAUUCAUCUCUAUCCGCAUCCGUUCCCUGACUCCCUAUUGUAACCUCUCCAAUACCUUCAUUGAUCUCCUGUCUCUAUAUAACCGCUAUGGUUGAGGAACCGUAAUGGUGAUGAUUGUCGACGAUGGUUUUCUUCGAUGAUUAUCCCAGCGUCUGCCCCUGUCAUUCUUUAAGUAGGUAUUGCUAUCUAUCUUCGAACCUUGCAAUGCAUAUGGUUGAAACUAAUAGUCAUGGAUAGAACUAAAGGGUGCAAGAUGACUAUGAUCUUAUUCAGUAAAAUCAUUUGAGAGGCAUAUGAUGGUGAUGGAACCUAACCAAAAAGUCAAAGUUUGGAUGAAGAGGUCAAAGAGCCAAGCAAACUACGAGCAAAAAGUAGAUACACGACCCUUGACCUGAUAAUGAUUUAACAAGGAGAACGAAGUUCAUGUAUUUGGUGAAUAAGCUUGGACUUGCUAAGGUAUGAAUCACAUGAUGUAUGUAAUGUUAUUUUGUCGAACUUUCAUGAAUGUAAACUUGGAAGAGAACAUACUUGACUCACAAUCAAGUGGCCCGUUAAGGAGAUUUUAAAUCAGUUAUUAUGUAUUAACCUUGUUUUGUUAGUGUGCAGGUUGGACUUGUUUUCAAUGGGUUCCAUGUGCUAUUGAAAUUCUUAGUUGAUAUUAAAGGUUGUAUGCUAAAUGCGCUGGUGCAUAACAGAGGAAAAUGAUCAGAGACAUAUGCAGGGGCAUAUUAUAUACCAGUCUAUAUGGCAUAUACUAAAAAAAGAACCAAAUAUGUCAUGUAAUAUGCUGAGAUGGAGCAUGAGUAGCAUAAAACACGCCCAAAUUGGCAUAUUAUACGUUGGGUUGUUUUGUUCAUUUUUUUUUUGUUUAUUUAUACAGAGUUAUCAGGCAUGUAUAGAUUGUUCACUCAUUUAGCUUUGCUAACUUCUUUGUUUACAUAUACUUCCAGGAUUGAUGGUGGAUUAAUGUUUAUACAGAGAAUCAUGAAUGAGACUAUGGUUUUUAAGAUCUGAAGACAUUGUCUUGCACUUAUUUUACUUGGUUAGCAACAGUAUCAGGUUUGCAAAUAUUUGUUGGUGGAUUAUUCAUACUUGAAAGACUAAACAGUUAAGUCGAACAAGGGAGACUAGAAGAAAUUUCACAAGCACCUAUUCAAGAUCCUUGAAGAAAAUUUAAUUUGAUUUGAAGAUUUUGUAAAUAAUUUUGAGUAACUUUAUGAAUGUAUAAUAGAUUAUUAUGAUAUCUUUGAUACCAUUCUUAUGGCGCAAUUCAGAUCCUAAUGCAUAUUAA